AUUGAACGCUGGCGGCAGGCCUAACACAUGCAAGUCGAGCGGAUGAGAGGAGCUUGCUCCUUGAUUUAGCGGCGGACGGGUGAGUAAUGCCUAGGAAUCUGCCUGGUAGUGGGGGAUAACGUUCCGAAAGGAACGCUAAUACCGAAUACGUCCUACGGGAGAAAGCAGGGGACCUUCGGGCCUUGCGCUAUCAGAUGAGCCUAGGUCGGAUUAGCUAGUUGGUGAGGUAAUGGCUCACCAAGGCGACGAUCCGUAACUGGUCUGAGAGGAUGAUCAGUCACACUGGAACUGAGACACGGUCCAGACUCCUACGGGAGGCAGCAGUGGGGAAUAUUGGACAAUGGGCGAAAGCCUGAUCUAGCCAUGCCGCGUGUGUGAAGAAGGUCUUCGGAUUGUAAAGCACUUUAAGUUGGGAGGAAGGGUAGUAAGCUAAUACCGUGCUGUUUUGACGUUACCGACAGAAUAAGCACCGGCUAACUUCGUG
rnacentral:rRNA from 1 species